UAAUUCCCCAGCUCGGGCGGCUUGAAACUGCUCGGGCUGAAUAGCAUUUGCUGUUCCGUCCUCCGGCCGCCUCCCGCCGCCGCUGCCGCGGUCUCUGCAAAGCAGCUCUCCUGAUCCCGGAAGUUGUGCUGACACAGUCUCGCUGCCACCCGAAGUUUGUCAACAUCAAACUUCUCCUGUGCGUGCUUGUACUGCGGGCAUGUUCAGUCCUGUUUCAGAUUGCUUGAAAAUGCAAGGCCUGCUUUGCAAAGGUGUGACCCUAGGCAUUCGAGAAGGUAUGUCACCUAGAGGACUAAGAGUUUAAAUCGACUGGUCCAAACCCUUAACCCUUUAAAGCUAUUAACCACUUCCCCUCCCCACCAUUAUUAACUUUUAAUGUCUUACAUGCUGUCAUAGAGCAUAUGUGGGAAAUCAGAGAGGGAGGGUGCAGGGAUCUGUGUGCAAAGUUAUAUCAGACAUGGGCUGCCUGUGAAGAUUCAGUAACCCAGACGGGCUACAUAAUGGGCUGAAUGCAGUCUGUUCAUUUGAAUUAGAAAUCUGUCAACUUGGUGGGUGCAGCAGGAUUCUUUUCCACUCUAUCAAAAAAUAAGUCAAGGUGAAGAAAGACAUCUGAAGAGAUUAUUAUAUAGUACACCAAGAAGGAGAAGAGCAUAUUUGCGUUGGUGAGGUAUAAAGGAGAGACUUAGCUCAUUUGGGGGGCCACAAAGGCACUUUUUUAACUUAUGCAGAUGACAGCCACGCGGGUAGUCAGAUCUGAUCUGCAGCCAUUUCUCUAUCAAUAACAAUGAGCAGGACACCCCCUUGUUUUUCAGACUGCAUGUAAAAAGAAAAUUAUACAUGACUCCAGGGGCACUCCUUUAAGCAAGCCUUGGAAAACAUCUUAAGCACAAUGUAACCGCAAUUUUAUUAGUGUUACUGAAGCAACUUCUGAGGUCAAGCCAUCGAUCAAUCAAUCAAGCAGCUUUUAUUAAAUCCCUACUGUGUGCUAGGCACUAGUCUAGGCUCUGGGAACACAUAAACCUAUGUAA
rnacentral:lncRNA from 1 species